AUAUAUAGAUUUGGUAAAGUCCAACAACGCGUAAUGAAAAUGGCCAAAUGGAUACUUUAACAAAAAUGUAUAUAAAUUACAACUCCAAAAUAUCAAAUCUCAAACAAACCCAAUUUUCUCAAUUUUAACACAAACAUUAAUUUUGUGUGACAUAUAAGGUGUAAGGAAAAAAAAUGAAGAAAAUUUGUACUAGUAUAUUUAAUUUUCUUGUAAUAUUUCUUACUUUAUCAUUGUGUAUGCAAAGCGAAUCGAGGAUAUUAAACUUGUCCGAUUUCGUAGAGACGAGUCAGGUGCGAGGCCGCAGCAUCAGGCAGACACUCAAACCCAAUCCUUCUCCAAUGCCAAAUACUAAUACUCAUCAAUUUAUAAGUCCACCUCCAAUGAUCGUGAAAUAAGGAAGAAGGCUGAUCCUGGAUUUGAUGAUUUUGUAGUUUAAUUCCUUUUUUAAAAAAAUAUAUUAUUUUUAAAUAAUUUUUAUCGAUGAUAAUUAAUGAAAAUUCUAUCCAUUGUUUUCUUUAAUAUUAUAGCAAUUUAAAAAAUAUAUAUAUACAUGAAGGUAACAUAUUUGUGCCCUUUGAAGCUAUAUAAAAAUUCACCCCUACGAUU